GUAGGUGGCAAGCGUUGUCCGGAAUUAUUGGGCGUGAAGCGCGCGCAGGCGGUCCUUUAAGUCUGAUGUGAAAGCCCACGGCUCAACCGUGGAGGGUCAUUGGAAACUGGGGGACUUGAGUACAGAAGAGGAAAGCGGAAUUCCACGUGUAGCGGUGAAAUGCGUAGAGAUGUGGAGGAACACCAGUGGCGAAGGCGGCUUUCUGGUCUGUAACUGACGCUGAGGCGCGAAAGCGUGGGGAGCAAACAGGAUUAGAUACCCUGGUAGUCCACGCCGUAAACGAUGAGUGCUAAGUGUUAGGGGGUUUCCGCCCCCCUUAGUGCUGCAGCUAACGCAUUAAGCACUCCGCCUGGGAGCACGGCCGCAAGGCUG
rnacentral:rRNA from 1 species